CGGACUUCAUUAACACUAAUCUAAUUGUACUCAUUUUGAAUUAAAAAAAAAAGGGGAAACUUGGAAGAGAAGAAUCGAGCGUUCGGUGGCGUGAUAAGAAUGAAUCGCGCGGCAUGGAAGGUGUCUCGCGCGACUCCACUCUUUCAUAUAAACAUGUUAAAAUUACUUAUAGCUCUCCAUGAAGAUAGAUCAGUCACGGUUUAUUGGAUGAAAUGAUUCCCUACUACCAGCCGGAGCACCCAACAGCAGCAGAAGAGCUGACAGUGCCUCAACAUAUGUUGGCCCAACCAGCUAUGCCACAAUAUGGAAUAAAUUUUUCCGUAACUCCACAAGAUAGAAGGGAAAAGAAAAGAAAAAAUGAUGCUGAUUAUCGACAACGAUGUAAGAUAAAGAAAGAAAAGAGAGAGAUUGAAUUGCAACAUCUUCGGGAAGAAAAUGGCCAGUUGAAGAGGGAGAAUGAAUCCUGUCGGGAAGAAAAUGAUUCGAUGGCACAUAAAUUGCGGUCAAAAGAAGUUGAGAUAGGGAACCUUAAAAACGAAAUCUGCAAUUCAAAGAAAGUUAUUUCUAAUCAAGAAAUUCUAGUGGACACACUAUCACAACAGCCGUUUCUGCAACAAAUAAUGCACGGAUGCAACCAACUUGAGGUGGCGCUGCUAGAAAAUGAACGCAAUAUAUUGUAUCAAAAUGCCAACUGGGAUGGUUGGGAAUCUGAAAGAAAACAACUUUUGGAUGAGAUUGAGAAGCUGAAACAUCGGAAUGUGAUGCUCAAAAUGCAAAAUCAAGUUUUAGGCGACAAAAUACUGAGCCAAAAAGUUACGAAAGCAAGUAUGAGAAGAAUAAAACAUGAAAAAAAUCAAAAGCCUAAGGCCAACCACAAAACCAGCUACACUAUAAGCUUAUCAGUAGAACAAGCUAACUCCACACACCACAACUAGCACAGGCUCCUGAUAAGCAACAGCCCACCUAAACAACAAACAGAUCUCAGAAUGACUCUGUGAAGUGAAUAACCAAUCCAGUCCACUGCUUUGCCUAACUACUAGCCACGGUAUUUGCACUAAGUAAAGUAUGUCUUAAAGUUGCCUUUGAAAAAGAAUUGCAUAUUAACCAUACCUUGUUUAGCACCUUUUCAUCUGUCAUGGCACCUCUCCCAUCCUUGUAACCAUGCAAUAGCAUCGCUGGUAGAAGAUUCUGCAACAACCCUAAGUGUCUGCGUGUGACAAAAAUCUCUGUUACCCUGUUAGUGGCCAUCAUCACUCCCAUGCAUGAGACCAUAACACCUGUCAUUUCAACAUGAAGCACGCCACCUACCCCUGCAAUCUGUCAUGGUUUCUGCAAAGCUGAGCCGUCAACUAUCUACUUUGUUCACCUAUGAUCAGGAGUUAAUCAGGAUAUUGUGAGGCAAUCUUUUCUCAAAAGGCGUAAAGCUUCUGAUAUGAUGGGUAGGGGUUAGAACCCACUUGUGAAGUAAUUAUUUUCUAGGUGUACGGUUUUAGUGGAACAGAAGCAGUGGAGACAUGUUCUGCAGAAAUAUUGAUUUGAUGUUAUUGACUUCUUGCUGUAUCUUGAUUCGAUUCUCGCCAUUAUUCGAUAAGCAAUGAAUUCUUGUAAAUUGUAUUAGCCUCAUAAACAAUGAAGUCUCAUUGCCUGGAUGGAA